GACGAACGCUGGCGGCGUGCCUAAUACAUGCAAGUAGGACGCAGUUGCGAACGGGUGAGUAACGCGUAGGUAACUACCUAUUAGAGGGGGAUAACUAUUGGAAACGAUAGCUAAUACCGCAUACUAGUAGCUGGACCUGCGUUGUAUUAGCUAGUAGGUAGGGUAAUGGCCUACCUAGGCAACGAAGCAUAGCCGAACUGGAAGGGUGGUCGGCCAAACUGGGACUGGGACACGGGCCAGAAUCCUACGGGAGGGAGCAGUAGGGGAUCUGCGGGAAUGGGGAGAACCCUGACCGGGCAACGCCGGGGGAGUGAAGAAGGUUUUCGGAUCGUAAAGCUCUGUUGUUAAGGAAACGGUACUUAACCAGAAAGGGACGGCUAACUACGUGCCAGCAGCCGCGGUAAUAC
rnacentral:rRNA from 1 species